rnacentral:rRNA from 1 species
UGAAGCCAGUCGAAGAUACCAGCUGGCUGCAACUGUUUAUUAAAAACACAGCACUGUGCAAACACGAAAGUGGACGUAUACGGUGUGACGCCUGCCCGGUGCUGGAAGGUUAAUUGAUGGGGUCAGCCGCAAGGCGAAGCUCCUGAUCGAAGCCCCAGUAAACGGCGGCCGUAACUAUAACGGUCCUAAGGUAGCGAAAUUCCUUGUCGGGUAAGUUCCGACCUGCACGAAUGGCGUAAUGAUGGCCAGGCUGUCUCCAC